AUACGGAGGGUGCAAGCGUUAUUCGGAAUCACUGGGCGUAAAGGACACGUAGGCGGGUUGGCAAGUCAGAUGUGAAAUCCUACAGCUUAACUGUAGAACUGCAUUUGAAACUGCUAACCUAGAGUAUGGGAGGGGGAGAUGGAAUUAGUGGUGUAGGGGUAAAAUCCGUAGAUAUCACUAGGAAUACCGAAAGCGAAGGCGAUCUCCUGGAACAUAACUGACGCUAAGGCGUGAAAGCGUGGGGAGCAAACAGGAUUAGAAACCCUAGUAGUCC
rnacentral:rRNA from 1 species